AAUAAACAUCCAUUUACGAUUUACGUGGAUUUUGAAUGUUUAUUGGAAAAAGAACCAGAUGCACAACAAAAUAAUAAUACAAAAAUAAUCCACCACCAUGGAGUCAUGAGCUAUUGUUAUUAUAUAAAAACAUCAGAUGACGUCUCAAGCGAAUUAUUAGAGUAGCAUAACAUAAAGACUGGUCCGGUUGUAUUUAGGGGAAAUUCGAGUAUGAACAAAG